CGCAUGCCAGUCUAACACGUUCUAUAGCUGAGAACACUUUUUUUGGUUUAGCGUUACAUCAUAGCCUAGUGAAAUGAGUGCAUUGAAAAGAUCAUUGCAAAUGGCUUACAAACGCAGGAAAGACAGCAAUAUCAGUUUUGUGACAUCCCAGACAGAUGAUAAAAGCAUCCUUACUGUUCACGAGGAGCAGCCCGGGAAAGAUGAGCCUAUCGAUGAAGGAGUUUGCAGCAAGUACAGAAGCUCUGGAAUCUCAGAAACCUUCACUGUGGAAGAAGCAAUUGAGGCUAUCGGUUUCGGAAGGUUUCAGUGGAAACUCUCAAUGCUAACAGGAGUUGCGUGGGUAAGACAUUCUGCAUUAUACUGUAGUAUUUUAAAUACAAGUGAUGUUUACUGAACAAAUAUCUUCAGUUUUUCAGCUCAUUCGGUUUACUUAAAAACUUGUUUACUUAAAAUUGUUUUACAUUUGCAUGCUAAGAUGGCUGAUUCUAUGGAAAUGAUGCUCCUUAGUAUUGUAACUCCUCAACUGCGCUGUGAGUGGAGGCUCUCGAGCU